rnacentral:rRNA from 1 species
GAUGAACGCUGGCGGCGUGCUUAACACAUGCAAGUCGAACGAAACACCUUAUUUGAUUUUCUUCGGAACUGAAGAUUUGGUGAUUGAGUGGCGGACGGGUGAGUAACGCGUGGGUAACCUGCUCUGUACAGGGGGAUAACAGUCAGAAAUGACUGCUAAUACCGCAUAAGACCACAGCACCGCAUGGUGCAGGGGUAAAAACUCCGGUGGUACAGGAUGGACCCGCGUCUGAUUAGCUGGUUGGUGAGGUAACGGCUCACCAAGGCGACGAUCAGUAGCCGGCUUGAGAGAGUGAACGGCCACAUUGGGACUGAGACACGGCCCAAACUCCUACGGGAGGCAGCAGUGGGGAAUAUUGCACAAUGGGGGAAACCCUGAUGCAGCGACGCCGCGUGAGUGAAGAAGUAUUUCGGUAUGUAAAGCUCUAUCAGCAGGGAAGAAAAUGACGGUAC